rnacentral:lncRNA from 1 species
GGCUUCACAUGAAUGGCGAGUGAAUGGGUCUCUCCUCUUCUGUUCUGCUAUUUUGUUGAGUAAGUGCCAAUCUUAAUAGAGGAGACAAAAGGGAUUCUGUACCUUGCUUUCAAACAGUACAAAUGAAGCAUCCACUAACAGUAUAGAUUUGCUUUCAAAUAUGAUGUUCUGCUUCUCAAUGCAUCAGUCAACAGAACCUCAAGAACUUAUGCUAUCAUUAUACAAAAUUGCUAAGGUUCCAACUCUUGUGGUCC